rnacentral:rRNA from 1 species
UACGAAGGGGCUAGCGUUGCUCGGAAUCACUGGGCGUAAAGGGUGCGUAGGCGGGUCUUUAAGUCGGGGUGAAAUCCUGGAGCUCAACUCCAGAACUGCCUUCGAUACUGGCGAUCUCGAGUUCGGGAGAGGUGAGUGGAACUGCGAGUGUAGAGGUGAAAUUCGUAGAUAUUCGCAAGAACACCAGUGGCGAAGGCGGCUCACUGGCCCGAUACUGACGCUGAGGUGCGAAAGCGUGGGAGCAACAGGG